rnacentral:lncRNA from 1 species
AAACAAUCUAGUUUUGCCUAUAAGCAAUGUAAUUAGCCAAAGCAAUCAAAGGAGCAGAUUUAUUCAAAUCAAACCCAGAAAGUUGUUCUUGUGCAUCACGGUUCAAUUUCUCAGCAAACUCUUUCGAUUUCUCAAUCCCUAAAAGCUUAGGAUAAGUAACCUUAUCAGCUACCAAAUCUUUCCCAGCAGUUUUCCCUAACUCUUGUGAAGAUUUCGUCACAUCAAGAAUAUCAUCAACAACCUGAAACAAUAAACCAAUAUAUGUCGCGAAUUUUCGCAGUUUUUCAACAUCUUCAUCACUUCCACCACCUAAUAUUGCACCAAGAACAACAGCACCUUCUAACAAAGCUGCAGUUUUAUGCAAAUGAAUGAAUUCAAGCCGUUCGAGUCCGACAUCGGAUAAACCUUCUGAGUUUAUAUCAACAACUUGUCCCGCAACGAGUCCUUCCGAGCCUAUUGAUUUCGCUAAUUCACCGAUUGCACGGACAAUUCGCGCCGGAGAAACAUCAACGGUGGAGACGGCAAUAUGUUCGAAAGCAAAAGCGAGAAGAGCAUCUCCGGCGAGAACAGCAACGUCUUCUCCGAAGACUUUGUGGUUUGUAGGUUUACCUCGCCGGAGAUCAUCGUUAUCCAUACAAGGAAGGUCAUCGUGGAUGAGAGACAUCGUGUGGAUCAUUUCAACGGCGCAGGCGGCUGGCAUCGCCAUCGGUUCGGUUCCUCCGACGAGUUCACAGGCGGCUAAACAGAGAACCGGCCGAACGCGUUUUCCGCCGGCGAGAAGAGAGUAACGCAUGGCUUCAUGAACUUUUAACGGUUCGCGUAAUGAAACGGCGUCGUCUAAGGCUUUGUUAACCCUAGUUGCUUUUUCUAUCAUGUAGGAUUUGAAAUUGAAGAUUGGGUUUUGCUCUUCUGCUUCUAUUGGUUCUUGUUUUGUAAGUAAUGAAGAAACAGAGAAAGAAAAUGAAGAAGAAUUGGGUUUUGAUGGUUUAAUGGGUGAAACUGAAAUGGGUAUUUUGGUAAAAUAGAAAGAUGGGAUUCUGGAUCUGGAUCUAGUUGUAGCAGUAGUAGUAACUUGAUUGCACAUGAAAUUGGAGUGUGUCCAUGUGUUAAGAUUCACAGCACUCAUGUUUGUGUUUGGGUUAUGAUAAUGUUUAUGUUUCUUUAAGGAGUUGUUCUUUCCUUAGGUUUAUUGCUAUCUUAUAUUCUCCCUUGUACUCUCUUUAUAUAUGGUGGGUGUAUUGAGAAUUAAGCUUGAGUUGAACUUGAAAGGUUUGAAUUUAGAACUUCAUGUGUUUCAAGAGGAAAUUGUAGGUGAAUGUGUGAGUCACGUUUAGUGAAAUUGAAGAGAAUGGGAAUGGAAAGUGGGAACAAAAGGGAGGCAAGAGGUUGGGCAAGGUGAGAUAAGGACAGUUUCCACCAAUGAGGUGAGUGUGAUGUGUAAUGAACAAGAUAGGAUAGUAAGAGAUUUGGGGUUUAACGGUGUUUUCCUAUUGUGUUCCUUCACUCUGCUUCAUUAAUUGUGUCAUUUGUUUUCUGUGGUUCUUGUCCAACAAAGAUAAAUUCUUUUCAUAA